rnacentral:lncRNA from 1 species
UAUGCGAAGUGGAAUACAGUACUGCAUCGGAUGCUAUAAAAUAUUAUGUGCCGCUAUCACCUGGUGUGAGAGAUCGUGAACCGUCGAGCUUCAGAAGAUCGACGAAAAGAAGAACCUAGCCAACCCCUUCACUAAAGCUCUCGAGAUCAAAGAGUUCGAUGAUUUCAAAUGAAAGAUGGGUAUAAGAUACUAUCGUGAUUGGCUUUAAUCCAAGUGGUAGUUAUUGAAAAUUGUGUCCUAAAACUAAUCGUGUGAUGAUUGAGUUCAUCCUUGU